UACGUAGGGUGCAAGCGUUAAUCGGAAUUACUGGGCGUAAAGCGUGCGCAGGCGGUUCUAUAAGACAGAUGUGAAAUCCCCCGGGCUUAACCUGGGAACUGCGCUUGUAACUAGCGGGCUAGAGUGCGGCAGAGGGGGGUGGAAUUCCACGUGUAGCAGUGAAAUGCGUAGAUAUUCGCAAGAACACCAGUGGCGAAGGCGGCUCACUGGCCCGGAACUGACGCUGAGAUGCGAAAGCGUGGGGAGCAAACAGGGAUUAAGAAACCCCAGU
rnacentral:rRNA from 1 species